rnacentral:rRNA from 1 species
UACGUAGGGUGCGAGCGUUGUCCGGAAUUACUGGGCGUAAAGAGCUCGUAGGUGGUUUGUCGCGUUGUUCGUGAAAACCGGGGGCUUAACCCUCGGCGUGCGGGCGAUACGGGCAGACUUGAGUACUGCAGGGGAGACUGGAAUUCCUGGUGUAGCGGUGGAAUGCGCAGAUAUCUGGAGGAACACCGGUGGCGAAGGCGGGUCUCUGGGCCGAAACUGACGCUGAGGAGCGAAAGCGUGGGGAGCAAACAGG